UACAGAGGCCUCGAGCGUUAGGCGGAAUCACUGGGCUUAAAGCGUGUGUAGGCGGAGUUCUAAGUACCUUGGGAAAUCCCACGGCUCAACCGUGGAACUGCUGGGUAUACUGGUUCUCUUGAGGUACCUAGGGGCGAGCGGAACAAGUGGUGGAGCGGUGAAAUGCGUAGAUAUCACUUGGAACGCCAACGGUGAAAACAGCUCGCUGGGGGUAUCCUGACACUGAGGAGCGAAAGCCAGGGGAGCAAACGGG
rnacentral:rRNA from 1 species